UUGCGACCCCAGGUCAGGCGGGAUUACCCGCUGAGUUU
rnacentral:rRNA from 1 species